UUGGAAAGUUUUCCGCAUAUUACAGCGAUUAGGAUUAAGGUCGUCAGACAUUUGUAUUGGGGUUUAUUAUGGAUCCCCAUUAGUUCCUGCCAAGGCAGCAGCUACUCUUCCUGGGGUUUAUUAUGGAUCCCCAUUAGUUCCUGCCAAGGCAGCGGCUACUCUUCCUGGGGUUUAUUAUGGAUCCCCAUUAGUUCCUGCCAAGGCAGCGGCUACUCUUCCUGGGGUUUAUUAUGGAUCCCCAUUAGUUCCUGCCAAGGCAGCGGCUACUCUUCCUGGGGUUUAUUAUGGAUCCCCAUUAGUUCCUGCCAAGGCAGCGGCUACUCUUCCUGGGGUUUAUUAUGGAUCCCCAUUAGUUCCUGCCAAGGCAGCGGCUACUCUUCCUGGGGUUUAUUAUGGAUCCCCAUUAGUUCCUGCCAAGGCAGCGGCUACUCUUCCUGGGGUUUAUUAUGGAUCCCCAUUAGUUCCUGCCAAGGCAGCGGCUACUCUUCCUGGGGUUUAUUAUGGAUCCCCAUUAGUUCCUGCCAAGGCAGCGGCUACUCUUCCUGGGGUUUAUUAUGGAUCCCCAUUAGUUCCUGCCAAGGCAGCGGCUACUCUUCCUGGGGUUUAUUAUGGAUCCCCAUUAGUUCCUGCCAAGGCAGCAGCUACUCUUCCUGGGGUUUAUUAUGGAUCCCCAUUAGUUCCUGCCAAGGCAGCAGCUACUCUUCCUGGGGUUUAUUAUGGAUCCCCAUUAGUUCCUGCCAAGGCAGCGGCUACUCUUCCUGGGGUUUAUUAUGGAUCCCCAUUAGUUCCUGCCAAGGCAGCAGCUACUCUUCCUGGGGUUUAUUAUGGAUCCCCAUUAGUUCCUGCCAAGGCAGCAGCUACUCUUCCUGGGGUUUAUUAUGGAUCCCCGUUAGUUCCUGCAAAGGCAGCAGCUACUCUUCCUGGGGUCUAGCAAAUAUUAAGGCAGUUUUUACCAUUUUAAAACAUUACAAUACACUGUAUUCCCUCAGACCCCUACUCCACCACUACCACAUAUCUACAAUACACUGUGUUCCCUCAGGCCCCUACUCUACUACCACAUAUCUACAAUACACUGUGUUCCCUCAGGCCCCUACUCCACCACUACCACAUAUCUACAAUACACUGUGA
rnacentral:lncRNA from 8 species